CCUACGGGAGGCAGCAGUGAGGAAUAUUGGUCAAUGGACGGAAGCCUGAACCAGCCAAGCCGCGUGCAGGAUGAAGGCCCUGUGAGUCGUAAACCUCUUUUGUACGAGGGCAAAGGCAGGGACGCGUACCCGGCUGAAAGUACCGUACGAAAAAGGAUCGGCUAACUCCGUGCCAGCAGCCGCGGUAAAACGGAGGAUUCGAGCGGUAACCGGGUUUAUUGGGGUUAAAGGGUGCGUAGGCGGUCGGGUAAGUCAGGGGUGAAAUCCCGGGGGUCAACCUCGGAACUGCCGUUGAAACUGGUCGGCUAGAGUGGGAGUGAAGUAGGCGGAAUGCGUGGUGUAGCGGUGAAAUGCAUAGAGAUCAUGCAGAACACCGAUUGCGAAGGCAGCAUACCGG
rnacentral:rRNA from 1 species